rnacentral:rRNA from 1 species
GAUGAACGCUAGCUACAGGCUUAACACAUGCAAGUCGAGGGGAAACGACAUCGAAAGCUUGCUUUUGAUGGGCGUCGACCGGCGCACGGGUGAGUAACGCGUAUCCAACCUGCCCAUCACUUGGGAAUAACCUUGCGAAAGUAAGGCUAAUACCCAAUGAUAUCCCACGAAGGCAUCGGAAUGGGAUUAAAGAUUUAUCGGUGAUGGAUGGGGAUGCGUCUGAUUAGCUUGUUGGCGGGGUAACGGCCCACCAAGGCAACGAUCAGUAGGGGUUCUGAGAGGAAGGUCCCCCACAUUGGAACUGAGACACGGUCCAAACUCCUACGGGAGGCAGCAGUGAGGAAUAUUGGUCAAUGGGCGAGAGCCUGAACCAGCCAAGUAGCGUGCAGGAAGACGGCCCUAUGGGUUGUAAACUGCUUUUAUAAGGGAAUAAAGUGGGUCACGUGUGACUUUUUGCAUGUACCUUAUGAAUAAGGACCGGCUAAUUCCGUG